rnacentral:rRNA from 1 species
UGUCUAAUUAAAACAAAGCAUUGCGAGCACCGCUGGUCGGUGCUGACGGAAUGUGAUUUCUGCCCAGUGCUCUGAAUGUCAACGGGAAAAAAUUAAAAAAGUGCUGGUAAACGGUAAGAGUAACUAUAACUCUAUAAGCGGUAUGGCCGAGCCUGGACUAGCGUCGGGACAUUCCUGUGGAAAGCUACACUUGUGCUUGUUUCCAUGGGCUGAACGCCUGGAGGUUGUUUUGUCGGCCGGCAGAAAAGAGCCGACUCAGAAAUGGUA